rnacentral:rRNA from 2 species
UUUUACGGAGAGUUUGAUCCUGGCUCAGGACGAACGCUGGCGGCGUGCUUAACACAUGCAAGUCGAGCGGUAAGGCCUUUCGGGGUACACGAGCGGCGAACGGGUGAGUAACACGUGGGUG